rnacentral:rRNA from 1 species
AGUGAACGCUGGCGGUAGGCCUAACACAUGCAAGUCGAACGGCAGCACAGGAGAGCUUGCUCUCUGGGUGGCGAGUGGCGGACGGGUGAGGAAUACAUCGGAAUCUAAUUUUUCGUGGGGGAUAACGUAGGGAAACUUACGCUAAUACCGCAUACGACCUACGGGUGAAAGCAGGGGAUCUUCGGACCUUGCGCGAUUGAAUGAGCCGAUGUCGGAUUAGCUAGUUGGCGGGGUAAAGGCCGACGAAGGCGACGAUCCGUAGCUGGUCUGAGGGGAUAAUCAGCCACACUGGAACUGGGACACGGUCCAGACUCCUACGGGAGUCAGCAGUGGGCAAUAUUGUACAAUGGGCGCAAGCCUGAUCCAGCCAUACCGCGUGGGUGAAGAAGGCCUUCGGGUUGUAAAGCCCUUUUGUUGGGAAAGAAAUCCAGCUGGUUAAUACCCGGUUGGGACGACGGUACCCAAAGAAUAAGCACCAGCUAACUUCGUGCCAGCCGCCGCCGUAA